rnacentral:rRNA from 1 species
AUGGGCGCGGACGAGGAGGGGCAGUCCCCCGCGCGGAAGCGCGAGCGCGAGGAGGAGUCCGCGGCCGCCGACGAGGGGGGCGCCGCCGCCGCCGCCGAGAAGCGCCCGCGCGCGGGGGACGAGUCGGAGGGCGCCUCGCUGCUGGGGCUCGCCAACUACGCGGACGAGGAGGAGGAGGAGCGCGGGGCCCCGAGGGGGCACGCGAACGGCCGGCCCCGCGAGGAGGAGGAGGAGGAAGACGAUGAGGGUGAGGAGGAGGACGAGAGGAGGGCUCCGGAGAGGCGGCCCAGGCAGGUCGAGCUGCGCCGGGACUGCCCCUACCUCGACACCGUCAACCGACAGGUCCUUGAUUUUGACUUUGAGAAGUUCUGCUCAAUCUCCUUAUCGAAUUUGAAUGUGUAUGCGUGCCUAGUUUGUGGAAAGUAUUACCAAGGAAGAGGCUUGAAAUCGCAUGCGUAUACCCACAGUCUUGAGGCAGGCCACCAUGUCUUCAUUAACCUUCAAACUGAGAAAGUUUACUGUCUUCCUGAUGGAUAUGAGAUAAAUGAUCCAUCACUAGAAGAUAUUCGACAUGUUCUCAAUCCAAGGUUUGCAAGAGAGCAGGUUAAAAUUCUUGACAAGAACAAGCAAUGGUCAAGAGCUCUGGAUGGCUCCAAUUAUUUACCUGGAAUGGUUGGUCUUAACAACAUUAAGGAGACUGACUUUGUGAACGUCACAAUACAAUCACUGAUGAGGAUUACCCCUUUGAGAAAUUUCUUUCUCAUACCUGAAAAUUAUCAGCAUAGCAAAUCCCCACUGGUUCAUCGGUUUGGAGAACUAACUCGCAAGAUUUGGCAUGCUAGGAACUUCAAGGGCCAAGUUAGUCCACAUGAGUUUCUUCAAGCAGUUAUGAAGGCUAGUGAGAAGAAGUUUCAGAUUGGUGUACAAUCUGACCCAGUGGAAUUUAUGUCAUGGCUCUUGAACACACUGCAUGCAAAACUAAGAAGUUCAAAGAAGAAAAAUAGAAGCAUCAUAUAUGAUUGCUUUCAGGGAGAACUUGAAGUUGUGAAGGAAAUUCACAGGAAGCAUUUAGUGGAUGAUGAGCAGAAUGGCGAGGCAGGUUCACAGGUUGAAACAACAAGUGACGGUAUGGUCACUCAAACAUCUCGGGUCCCAUUCUUGAUGCUCGGUCUUGACCUGCCACCACCACCACUUUUCAAAGAUGCCAUGGAGAAAAAUAUUAUUCCACAGGUACCACUGUUCAAUAUACUGAAGAAGUUCGAUGGUGAGACAGUUACCGAGGUGGUACGGCCAUCUAUUGCCCGAAUGAGGUAUCGAGUCAUCAGGCUUCCAAAGUAUAUGAUCCUUCACAUGCGACGGUUUACAAAAAACAACUUCUUUGUAGAGAAGAACCCUACACUAGUGAAUUUUCCUGUGAAGAACUUGGAAUUGAAGGAUUACAUCCCAUUGCCUAAGCCAAAAGAGAGUGAGAAGCUGCGCUCAAAGUACGACCUCAUAGCCAACAUCGUACACGACGGCAAGCCAGGUGAAGGAUGCUACAGAGUAUUCGUGCAGCGGAAAUCAGAGGAGGCGUGGUAUGAGAUGCAGGAUCUCCAUGUCACCGAGACCCUUCCGCAGAUGGUCGCUCUCUCUGAAGCCUACAUGCAGAUAUACGAGCAGCACGAGUGA